UCCAUGCUGCUUUAGUACAUAUGUGUGAAGGGAAUAGUAGUAUAAUAUAUAAUUUUCUGAGUCUGAACACCAUCGUAGUCUGAAAAUGUGGAGAAAAUUGUUCCUACUAAUACAGCGGAGCCACAAAUUCCACCAACCACUGAUCAUCAUGCCCCUUAUUAAAUGGCAAAAACAUGCAUGUGGAUACACUGAAAAAGUAUGUUCUUUCUCCUGCCAUUUAAUACCAUAAGCAUUAUCAUCCAUGUUUUUGUAUCCCCACAGGAUCCUGGAACCUGCAGAUAUGGUAUGUCUACUUCAGCUGCAAAACAUGUGUAGACCUGAAUUAAUACAUUCAGUAACUUACAUUCUACUUCUCAACCCUACAGCAGAGGAAAAUGAGAGAAAAUUUCAACAUAACAUUACUCGUGGAGGAAGCGGGGAUAAAAGAGGAAGAGGAGGAAAAUGAAGGCAUUGGGGGUGUUAAAGCCCAUUUUCAACCAUUUCAGCAUUCUGUGUCUCAGUGCAAAGGAGAACUAGAGUUGUGGAAAUUGUGGAAGAAGUAUUUCCAGGAUACAACCAGCAGGAAAAUGGUGUUUAUUAUUCUCCCAUAUAAAUACUUCUUACUAGAUUGUAUCAUUGCUUUUCUUUGCCUGAAUCAAAACCCAGGAAAAAACUCAUGAGGAAAGGGGGGGGGGCAUGGACAGUAUUUGCAGGAAAGAAUGGUGUACAGUGGAGCAAGAAAGCUCUCCUUCCAUCUUCUCCAUCUCUCCCCCACUACACACAUACAUUUUCUACUCCUGUUUAUUUGAACUUCGUUGGAUUCUGGACACAAAUGAAGGCACUGGAUUUUACCUACAAAAGCCAAAAAAAAAAUAAAAAAAUCAUGGGAUGAGGAUAUUUAAGGAUGUACCUCCCACCAUAUGAACCUACAGUUUCAUUGCCUCCACCACAAGAUGUUCUCCUCAUACAGCCAUGGGCAGAAAUGUGAUUUAUGGAGAUAUUGUUAAAAAAAAAAACGUCCUUGGUUGUGGAAACCUGCCCUCUGAAAUACCUUCAGAACAAAAAUUCAAUUGGUCCCAUCACUAAUGACAUUUAUACAGGUGGUUCUAUCAAUUCCUUCAGUUGCUAUUUGUCUUUUGAUUCUGUAUAGUUUUCAAAUGUUGUAAGAUGCUUUGGGAGAAAUUCUGAGUUCCAAAAGGCAGGAUACAGAUAAAUAAGCAAACAUUAUUUAUUC